rnacentral:misc_RNA from 1 species
CCGAGUUUACAACUCCCAAACCCAUGUGAACAUACCUACUGUUGCUUCGGCGGGAUUGCCCCGGGCGCCUCGUGUGCCCCGGAUCAGGCGCCCGCCCAGGAAACUUAACUCUUGUUUUAUUUUGGAAUCUUCUGAGUAGUUUUUACAAAUAAAUAA